rnacentral:rRNA from 1 species
AUGGGCACGCAGCUGAUUUCCAGGAUCAGGGAGGAGUACCCGGACCGGAUGAUGCUCACCUUCUCCGUGUUCCCAUCUCGCAAGGUCUCUGACAUAGUGGUCGAGCCCUACAAUGCCACCCUCUCGGUUCACCAGCUGGUUGAGAACUUUGAUGAGUGCAUGGUGCUGGACAACGAGGCGCUCUACGGCAUCUGCUUCCACACCCUCAAGCUGACCACACCUAGCUAUAAGGAGAUCUGUGACAUCAAGUUAUAUUACCUACCUGUACUUUUUUUGACUGAAUACCUGUACUUUUGUUACUAA